AAGGAUCAUUACCGAGUAUAGGGGUCUCCCUCGUGGAGGUCCCGAACUCCCACCCCGUGCUUACGUACCUCUGUUGCCUCGGCGGGCCCGCCGGGAACUCUUUAUGAGUCCCCCCGGCAUCCGGCUUUCGCGCUGGACAGCGCCCGCCAGAGGACCAACCAAACUCGUCUUUGACCGGCAGUCUGAGUAAAAUAACAAAUAAGUUAAAACUUUCAACAACGGAUCUCUUGGUUCUG
rnacentral:misc_RNA from 1 species